rnacentral:lncRNA from 1 species
AUAGCUUUAAUUACUGAGCUCGAUUCUGUCAAUACGUCGUGGUUUUCAAUAUCUUGAAACAUUGUCUACUUCACACCACGUGUCCUCUCCGUCCAACAAAUAACGGUUAACAGUGAAGGUUCCAGUUUCAACAGACUUGCGAAUCAUAAAUUUAAUAAUCAUGAUUAAGCACACACUUGUAGUAACCUAAUUAUUAACGUAUCCUGUCGACUGCGCCAAUUUGUAACAAACACAAAUUUAAAAUAUUUAUUUUACUAAAAUUAUUGUAGACAAUCACGUACAAUGGUCAUAACUCUACAUGAGCAGAACAGAAACUGGCUUAAACAAAGCACAGGGACAAGCGUGAGAAAAUUAACUCAUAGUCUUAUAACACAGCAGGAGAUGCCCUAUAGGCAGAGUAAACAAUCGCAAUACAGGAAGGGGUUAACACGUGUCUAUACGAAAUGUUUGAACACAGCACACUAUUCAUACUUUAUAAAUCUCUGCAAUGAUACCUUUCCAAAAUGCUUUAAUAUAGAAUAUGCCCAAUAAUUUAUACAGUUGAAGAAAAGUUAUUUUUGUUUUUAUAUGUUCUAGAUUUGCUC